ACGUAGGCGGCAAGCGUUGUCCGGAAUUAUUGGGCGUAAAGGGAGCGCAGGCGGGAAACUAAGCGGAUCUUAAAAGUGCGGGGCUCAACCCCGUGAGGGGGUCCGAACUGGUUUUCUUGAGUGCAGGAGAGGAAAGCGGAAUUCCCAGUGUAGCGGUGAAAUGCGUAGAUAUUGGGAAGAACACCAGUGGCGAAGGCGGCUUUCUGGACUGUAACUGACGCUGAGGCUCGAAAGCUAGGGUAGCGAACGG
rnacentral:rRNA from 1 species